rnacentral:rRNA from 1 species
AUGGCUCAGAACGAACGCUGGCGGCGCGUCUUAAGCAUGCAAGUCGAACGGCAAGAGGUAGCAAUACCUCCUAGAGUGGCGGACUGGUGAGUAACACGCGGGUGACAUACCCUCAGGAUGGGGAUAGCUAUUAGAAAUAGUAGAUAAUACCGAAUACGAGCACAGGGGUUAGAGAUCUGUGAGGAAAGGAGCUAAGGCUCCGCUGAAGGAAUGGCCUGCGGCCCAUUAGCUAGUUGGUGAGGUAAGAGCCCACCAAGGCGAUGAUGGGUAUCCGGCCUUAGAGGGUGAACGGACACAUUGGGACUGAGAUACGGCCCAGACUCCUACGGGAGGCAGCAGCUAAGAAUAUUCCGCAAUGGACGAAAGUCUGACGGAGCGACGCCGCGUGGAUGAAGAAGGCCGGAAGGUUGUAAAAUCCUUUUGAAACUGAAGAAUAAGCGUUGUAGGGAAUGACAGCGUGGUGACAGUAGGUUUUGAAUAAGCAACGGCUAAUUACGUGCCAGCCGCGGC